AUUGAACGCUGGCGGCAUGCCUUACACAUGCAAGUCGAACGGCAGCACGGGGGCAACCCUGGUGGCGAGUGGCGAACGGGUGAGUAAUGCAUCGGAACGUGCCCAGUAGUGGGGGAUAACUAGUCGAAAGAUUAGCUAAUACCGCAUACGACCUACGGGUGAAAGCGGGGGACCUUUACCGGCCUCGCGCUAUCGGAGCGGCCGAUGUCUGAUUAGCUAGUUGGCGGGGUAAAAGCCCACCAAGGCGACGAUCAGUAGCUGGUCUGAGAGGACGACCAGCCACACUGGGACUGAGACACGGCCCAGACUCCUACGGGAGGCAGCAGUGGGGAAUUUUGGACAAUGGGCGCAAGCCUGAUCCAGCCAUGCCGCGUGCGGGAAGAAGGCCUUCGGGUUGUAAACCGCUUUUGGCAGGAACGAAACGGCGCGAGCGAAUAUCUCGCGUUAAUGACGGUACCUGCAGAAUAAGCACCGGCUAACUACGUGC
rnacentral:rRNA from 1 species